AUGCGACUUAACUCUUUGCCCGCUCCUCAAAGGUGUUCCCCUUUGUCCUUGAAGGAAGAAGCUUGGAGAACGCCGAACCUUGUGAGCUCAGCCCCGAAUUCUUUUGGAGGCCUAAGAAGUAACGACAAGCAACUUCCUCGCCAGCUCCUCCGGUCCUGGGAAGGCAGAGGCGAGGGCGGGGGGGGCGCUUUUUCUGCCUCUCUCGUGCGGACGGCUCCGGCGUCAGGCUCGCCUUCAUGCGGACUAGCGCCCUCCAGGGGUUUUUCGCGGAGGACGACCGCGCUCCUCCCGGAGCCAGGCAAGCAAGUUGCAAGUUUACUCCCGAGAAGACAUUUCUGGGCUGGCCGGAAGGGUCGUUGCGCAUCUGGUGUAACCCCCCCUUCUUCCCCCACCGGGCGCAGGUGCGGCCAAUGGGACUCAAUCCUUGUGUUUUUCUCCCGGGAAAGCGCGCAGGAGAGGAUCGCGGGCAAACUUCCCCGCGGAGCCCCGGCGUGUGUGUCGGAUUGGGACCCUGCUUCCCUCUCGGUGGAAGGAGGAGGAGCGGCUGUUGUGUCUGGAAGGGGCCGG
rnacentral:lncRNA from 1 species